AGUGGUUCUUGGGUGAUGCACCCGGGAAUUGGGCUCCCUCCCCUCUGGUUCCAGGUGCAUCACCAGAGACCCGCA
rfam:Myotis davidii contig207438, whole genome shotgun sequence.